UACGAAGGGGGCUAGCGUUGCUCGGAAUGACUGGGCGUAAAGGGCGCGUAGGCGGAUGGCACAGUCAGAUGUGAAAUUCCCGGGCUUAACCUGGGGGCUGCAUUUGAUACGUGUUGUCUUGAGUUCGGAAGAGGGUCGUGGAAUUCCCAGUGUAGAGGUGAAAAUUCGUAGAUAUCAGGAGGAACACCGGUGGUGUAGACGGCUAUCUGGACCGUAACUGACGCUGAGGCACGAAAGCGUGGGUAGCAAACAGG
rnacentral:rRNA from 1 species